rnacentral:rRNA from 1 species
GGGGGGGGGGCUAUACAUGCAAGUCGAGCGGACAGAAGGGAGCUUGCUCCCGGAUGUUAGCGGCGCCACGGGUGAGUAACACGUGGGUAACCUGCCUGUAAGACUGGGAUAACUCCGGGAAACCGGAGCUAAUACCGGAUAGUUCCUUGAACCGCAUGGGUCAGGGAUGAAAGACGGUUUCGGCUGUCACUUACAGAUGGACCCGCGGCGCAUUAGCUAGUUGGUGAGGUAACGGCUCACCAAGGCGACGAUGCGUAUCCGACCUGAGAGGGUGAUCGGCCACACUGGGACUGAGACACGGCCCAGACUCCUACGGGAGGCAGCAGUAGGGAAUCUUCCGCAAUGGACGAAAGUCUGACGGAGCAACGCCGCGUGAGUGAUGAAGGUUUUCGGAUCGUAAAGCUCUGUUGUUAGGGAAGAACAAGUGCAAGAGUAACUGCUUGCACCUUGACGGUACCUAACCAGAAAGCCACGGCUAACUACGUGCCAGCAGCCGCGGUAAUACGUAGGUGGCAAGCGUUGUCCGGAAUUAUUGGGCGUAAAGGGCUCGCAGGCGGUUUCUUAAGUCUGAUGUGAAAGCCCCCGGCUCAACCGGGGAGGGUCAUUGGAAACUGGGAAACUUGAGUGCACAAAAGGAGAGUGGAAUUCCACGUGUAGCGGUGAAAUGCGUAGAGAUGUGGAGGAACACCAGUGGCGAAAGCGACUCUCUGGUCUGUAACUGACACUGAGGAGCGAAAGCUGACGCACUC